AGCAGCCGCGGUAAUUCCAGCUCCAAUAGCGUAUAUUAAAGUUGCUGCAGUUAAAAAGCUCGUAGUUGAAUUUCGGGACUAAUAUGUCGGUCGUGCCUCGGUACGUACUGGUUUAUUGGUUUCUCCUUUCUGAAGAACCAUGAUGUCAUUUAUUUGGUGUCGUGGGGAAUCAGGACUGUUACUUUGAAAAAUUAGAGUGUUUAAAGCAGGCUCACGCUUGAAUACAUUAGCAUGGAAUAAUGAAAUAGGACGUUUGAUUCUAUUUUGUUGGUUUCUAGGAUCGACGUAAUGAUUAAUAGGGAUAGUUGGGGGCAUUAGUAUUCAAUUGUCAGAGGUGAAAUUCUUGGAUUUAUUGAAGACUAACUACUGCGAAAGCAUUUGCCAAGGAUGUUUUCAUUAAUCAAGAACGAAAGUUAGGGGAUCGAAGACGAUCAGAUACCGUCGUAGUCUUAACCAUAAACUAUGCCGACUAGGGAUCGGAUGAUGUUAAUUUUUAAUGUACUCA
rnacentral:rRNA from 1 species